rnacentral:rRNA from 1 species
ACGCUCGACACCUACAGGAGGCAGCAGUGGGGAAUAUUGCACAAUGGGGGAAACCCUGAUGCAGCGACGCCGCGUGGAGGAAGAAGGUCUUCGGAUUGUAAACUCCUGUUGUUGGGGAAAAAGAGGAUGGUACCCAACAAGGAAGUGACGGCUAACUACGUGCCUGCAGCCGCGGUAAUCUGAGCGGGCUGGGCAAGGGC